AAUCCAUGAUGUGGACAAGCUCUUAGUAGCUCCUUAUACCUUUCCCAAGCAUCAAAGAGGGACUCUCAUUCUGUUGAGUAAAUCUGGUAAUUUGGUUACGUAGGAC